UAUCGAUAUGUGAAUACAUAGCAUAUCAGAAGGCACACCCGGAGAACUGAAACAUCUUAGUACCCGGAGGAAGAGAAAGAAAAUUCGAUUCCCUUAGUAGCGGCGAGCGAAACGGGAAGAGCCCAAACCAACAAGCUUGCUUGUUGGGGUUGUAGGACACUCUAUACGGAGUUACAAAGGACGACAUUAGACGAAUCAUCUGGAAAGAUGAAUCAAAGAAGGUAAUAAUCCUGUAGUCGAAAAUGUUGUCUCUCUUGAGUGGAUCCUGAGUACGACGGAGCACGUGAAAUUCCGUCGGAAUCUGGGAGGACCAUCUCCUAAGGCUAAAUACUCUCUAGUGACCGAUAGUGAACCAGUACCGUGAGGGAAAGGUGAAAAGCACCCCGGAAGGGGAGUGAAAUAGAACCUGAAACCGUGUGCUUACAAGUAGUCAGAGCCCGUUAAUGGGUGAUGGCGUGCCUUUUGUAGAAUGAACCGGCGAGUUACGAUUUGAUGCAAGGUUAAGCAGUAAAUGUGGAGCCGUAGCGAAAGCGAGUCUGAAUAGGGCGUUUAGUAUUUGGUCGUAGACCCGAAACCA
rnacentral:rRNA from 1 species